GUGAAAACUGCAAAUUAGAGAAACUGAGCCUGUCCUUUUGUGGUCUCAUCUCCAGAUGUUCCUCAUCUAUCUCCUCAGUCUUCUCUUCUCCACACUCACAGCUGACUAAACUGGACCUGAUCAGAAAAAAACUGGGAGAUUCAGGAGCUCGUCAGCUGUGUGAGGGUCUGCGGACCCCAAACUGUAAAUUAGAGACACUGUGGCUGCAGUUUAAUGAGAUCAGUGAGAGUGAGAAGAUGAACCUAAGGUCAAUACAGGAGGAGCUGAACAGGACUGGACGGUAGGUGGAUAUCGUGGACAUGCUGAUCAACUGCCCCCCAGUGACAGCGCCCCCUAUCCACUCUCUCUGAAUUCUACUCUUUAUUCUUUAAUAGUCUCCUACACUCUCCUCCACAUUAAAUAAACUCUCC